GGCAACCAGAAACCGGCGCCAUCUUGGAGUUGGCUUCCCACAGAGGUAUAGGAUGAUUAAGUUCCAGCCAUUGCUAUGGCACUCUACAUUUGUGUGAUAGAGCCAUGAGUGUUCUACUUAUGAUGAAAUGUUCCAAAUGGAAACUGUACCCAGCCCCUCUCAAAAAGCUUAGUUUGCCACAAAGGCUGUUGAGCUGAAUUUGAUCCUUCCAUCCAUGUGAAGGAGAAAGAAAACCAACUAGGGAAGCCAAGAACUGUGUUUGAAGACUCAUCUAACCUCAGUUCCAAACCAAUAGAAUGACUGAGGCCCUUGUUCAUGUACCACUUAAAUUGGUUCUGCUUUGAAAAUGGUGCUGGGUCUAUGCUUCACCAACCUCUCCAGGUGACAGGAGCUCAUUUUCACAAUGGCAGAGACUUGCCCAUCCUUCAAACCCCAUUCUGUCAGAACAUCCAGACCCAAGGAGGUAGGAUCCAUACAGCUCCAGGUGAAGCUUAGUGAUCUAAGAUUUUCUUUGAUAUGCAUGAAAAUCACCUGAUGGAUUGAUGGAUGGAAUGACAGAUGGGAAGGUGCAUAAACAUGUGUCAAAGCAAAUAUGUUAAAGUGACAAAUGAAGAAGCACAUUGGUGUAUAUGUGUACGAGUUAUGGAAUUCAUUCAACUUUUCCAUAGUUUUUCAUUUUUUUAUAGUAACACAUUUGUGUAUGACACCAAGUACUGACCAGGAUUCAGUACAUUUUCAGUGUAGACAUAUUUCCAGGCAAAUGUCUGAUACAAUGAUGAGGGUGCCCGUUGCACAAUGGUAGCACAGAAGAGGAAGUUUUGGGGCCAAUAAGAUAUAUCAGACUAGAGGUGCUUAUCAUAGCAAUGGAAACCCAAUAACAAAGAGAUAUGUAUUUCCAAUAUGCUCUUUUCUACAUGGAUGGACCAAGCUGUUUGGAAACAUGUGGAGUUCAUUAGGAGAUCAGAAUGAAUAUGUCCUAGGAGAUAUCUUAAGGUUUCUGAAAAGGAAUGGGUAACUCUCCUGGAAAUAUUCGAGACCACAUUUCUUGUAAGAAUAUGACUGCCAGCACUACCAAGGUAUGCAACUCCCCCUAGCAGGAUUGGGAGGUAGACUCCCAUUUGCAUGAGACACUGGGUAGCAGACAUAGUUUUGCCAUAUUAUUUACUUUCAUUUCUCUCAAAUUAUCACUUUCUAUACUAAACGUUUCCAAGAUAGCUUAAUAAUCACCUUUUAAAAACCAUAUGAGGAAAAUGAACUUGAAAUAGUACUAAUGAUUUAGUGUACAGCACUGGGAUUAUUGCUCACACCAUUUCUCCUGUGUCGUUUUACAUGUACCUAAAUGCAGAGCUGAAUUAGAGUUAUGUGUCGCUGUUGAUACCUCCUAAAUAAAUACAUCAACAAACCU
rnacentral:lncRNA from 1 species